AUGAUUAUCCUUGGCCAGAUGAUAUGGAUCCAAACAUUAAAAGUGGGCAUUUGACUUAUCUGUCUUACUUCAAGCCUCUGACCGAGAAACCAAAACCAGUCACACUUCCAUUUGAGAAGCCUCUGGUUGAUUUAGAGAAAAAGAUUAUUGAGAUUCGUAAUUUGGCUGAUGAAACCGGUUUAGAUUUCAGUGAUCAAAUUGGUACACUCGAGAACA
rnacentral:misc_RNA from 1 species